AGGGAUAUAGCUCAGUUGGUAGAGUGCUUGCCUUACCUUGCAUGCACAAGGCCCUGGGUUCAAUCCCCAGUACCCCCC
rfam:Ictidomys tridecemlineatus contig013217, whole genome shotgun sequence.